CCCACCAUGAUUUUGAGACCUCCCCAGCCAAGUGGAACUGAAGGGUCCUGUCCUGUACCCGGGAGGAAGAAAUGCUACACAGAGAAGCCAAGAUGAAUCUGAACAGACAGCCUUUGUCAGUUCCACAGAUUCCAUAAAAGUUAACUCCAGAGCAGAGAAUGAUGCCACAGUCGGGAUAACAUCCAAUAUUUGCAAUCAGAAGAAAUAUGAGGUAACACCACCAAAUAAAUAAUGUAUUAACACUACAGAAUUUCUUCACAACUAAAAAGAAUGGACGUUGUUUAUUGUACUCUACCAAAAUACCUAGUGUUCUCUUUGAAAAUAAGGAAAAUAAUCAAGACUCUCAGUUACUAUUCAAUUGUGUUGGUUAAGACUAUUGCUAGAACACUACAUAUUCAUUUCUAUAGGUAAGAAUAUCAUGAUGAGGUAAAAACAUCGAAGAGAGCCUGUAUUCUAAGUUAGCUAGGAGAUUAGACUUUUAUUUUCUUCUUUGAUAGAUUAUAUAAUUUUCCACAGCAGUGUACAUAGAAACCCUAAUAUGUUACUACUUAUAAAA
rnacentral:lncRNA from 1 species